rnacentral:rRNA from 1 species
CCUACGGGUGGCAGCAGUGAGGAAUAUUGGUCAAUGGCCGAGAGGCUGAACCAGCCAAGUCGCGUGAGGGAAGACGGCCCUACGGGUUGUAAACCUCUUUUGUCGGGGAGCAAAGCGAGUCACGUGUGACUCAUUGAGAGUACCCGAAGAAAAAGCAUCGGCUAACUCCGUGCCAGCAGCCGCGGUAAUACGGAGGAUGCGAGCGUUAUCCGGAUUUACUGGGUGUAAAGGGCGUGUAGGCGGGACUGCAAGUCAGAUGUGAAAACCACGGGCUCAACCUGUGGCCUGCAUUUGAAACUGUAGUUCUUGAGUACUGGAGAGGCAGACGGAAUUCCUAGUGUAGCGGUGAAAUGCGUAGAUAUUAGGAGGAACACCAGUGGCGAAGGCGGUCUGCUGGACAGCAACUGACGCUGAGGCGCGAAAGCGUGGGGAGCAAACAGGAUUAGAUACCCUUGUAGUC